UACGUAGGUGGCUAGCGUUGUCCGGAUUUACUGGGCGUAAAGAGCGCGCAGGCGGUCGUUCAAGUCGAGUGUGAAAGCCCCCGGCUCAACUGGGGAGGGUCACUCGAUACUGAUCGACUCGAAGGCAGGAGAGGGAAGCGGAAUUCCCGGUGUAGCGGUGAAAUGCGCAGAUAUCAGGAGGAACACCGGUGGCGAAGGCGGUUCUCUGGGCCUGUACUGACGCUGAGGAGCGAAAGCGUGGGGAGCGAACAGG
rnacentral:rRNA from 1 species